UACGUAGGGUGCAAGCGUUGUCCGGAAUUAUUGGGCGUAAAGAGCUCGUAGGCGGUCUGUCGCGUCGGCUGUGAAAUCCCGAGGCUCAACCUCGGGUCUGCAGUCGAUACGGGCAAACUUGAGUGUUGCAGGGGAGACCGGAAUUCCUGGUGUAGCGGUGAAAUGCGCAGAUAUCAGGAGGAACACCGGUGGCGAAGGCGGGUCUCUGGGCAACAACUGACGCUGAGGAGCGAAAGCGUGGGGAGCGAACAGG
rnacentral:rRNA from 1 species